rnacentral:rRNA from 1 species
AUCAUGAUUUACAUUUGAGUGAGUGGCGAACUGGUGAGCAACACGUGGGAAACCUGCCCAGAAGCGGGGGAUAACACCUGGAAACAGAUGCUAAUACCGCAUAACAACAAAAUCCGCAUGGAUUUUGUUUGAAAGGUGGCUUCGGCUAUCACUUCUGGAUGAUCCCGCGGCGUAUUAGUUAGUUGGUGAGGUAAAGGCCCACCAAGACGAUGAUACGUAGCCGACCUGAGAGGGUAAUCGGCCACAUUGGGACGGAGACACGGCCCAAACUCC